rnacentral:rRNA from 1 species
UACGGAGGGUGCGAGCGUUGUCCGGAAUUAUUGGGCGUAAAGAGCUCGUAGGUGGUUUGUUACGUCUGAUGUGAAAUCCCGGGGCUCAACCCCGGAACUGCAUUGGAUACUGCCUUGCUAGAGUACUGGAGAGGGAACUGGAAUUUACGGUGUAGCAGUGAAAUGCGUAGAGAUCGUAAGGAAGGCCAGUGGCGAAGGCGAGUUCCUGGACAGUUACUGACGCUGAGGCACGAAGGCCAGGGGAGCAAACGGG